GUGGACCUACGGGACGCAGCAGUAGGGAAUCUUCCACAAUGGACGAAAGUCUGAUGGAGCAACGCCGCGUGAGUGAAGAAGGGUUUCGGCUCGGAAAACUCCGUUGGUAGUGGAGAAAGAUAGAGGUAGAAACUGGCCUUUAUUUUACGGUAAUUACUUAGAAAGUCAAGGCUAACUACGUGCCCGCAGCCGCAGUAAUACGUAGGUGGCAAACGUUGUCCGGAUUUAUUGGGCGUAAAGCGAGUGCAGGCGGUU
rnacentral:rRNA from 1 species